rnacentral:misc_RNA from 1 species
UCGGGAUCGGGAUCAUGAAGGGGGAUAUCCAGACACUGAUCGUGGUCGCUCCCAUGAUAGGGACGAUUAUGAUCGGGUUGAAUCAAAAUAUGAAAAGGAUAGACAUGGUGAUAGGGACAGGGAUAUUGAUCGUGCUGAAACUGAGGAUGGUCGUGGGUGGUAUGAUCAGCCUGACCAUGGGCACAGACACCCAGACACUGAUCAUGAUCCCCAGUACUAUGAUCACUUUGAACAUAGCCGAAGUCGAGGGCAAUAUGAUCACCCAGAAGGCCAUCAUGACCAAGAUCGUUAUGAUCAGUAUGAUGAUAGAAUGGAGGAUGAUUACCAUUAUGAGCGUGGCACUUCUGAAUCACAUGAUAGAGAGAGGUCUCGUGAUUUAAAUCAUGAAUAUAAACGCAGUGAGAGAUCUCAUUCCAGAGAGUACUAGUGGCAGUGGUUAAAGAUGACAUCCAAGGCCAUGAAAAUAUUAUGUAGCUGCUGUGUUCGGUGUCGGAAUUGUCUUCUUUUGUCUUUUAAUUGACCUAUAGUUGCUCAAACAAGCAUCGUUGAUACGCCCGAUGCUGUAUGUUCUUGGGAGUUUCAGUUUCAGCCACUUUAUGCAGAUUUUUGCACAGUUUAUUUAUGUGCUAAAACUCCUAGACUUGCUGUGUAUUAUUUUGUGACCAUGAUUUUUAAGUUCCUAGAGUGGUUAUAGAAUUUUUUGUAUGCUUGAUUUGGUUGGACAUCGUUUUGGUGCCAAGUAGGUCAAACACUGUGGAG